rnacentral:tRNA from 1 species
GGAGGAGAAACAUCGCCGGUGCGAUGUCCGGACUUCAAAUCCGGGAGAGGCUGCGAGCCGGUCUCUGGUGGGUUCGACCCCCACUCUCUUCCGCCA